UCCUUGAAUUCCAUACUUGACGAUAAACCUUAUCUUUAUCAAAAUCCAAUUGUAUCUCCAUUACAUAUCCAUUAUCUAUGUAACUUUGACCUUGGUCCAAAAGAGAAGUGCUCACAAUUAACUUAAUCAUAGUCAAUGACUUAGCAUCCUUAUCUUUUGUCCCAUAAUCUUCAUUUGCCACAUAAUCUUGUAUAAAAUCCUUCAUAUCUUCUUGAAUGCAUCCUUGUGAAACAUCAUAAUCUUUUGUUGUCUCAAAGCAUUGUAUAACCUCAUAAUAUUGAAAAUUCUCAUGCUCUUUUGAAAUCUCAUGUUCUUGAAAAGUCUCACAACUUUUACAAUAAUCUUUUGUGGUUUCACAACCACAUUUAGUAUCAUAACCUUGUGCAAUCUCAUAACCCUCUUUAUAAUAAUCAUAUGAAAACUCAUAACUUCUUUCAUCCAACUCAUAUAUGGUCUCAUAGCCAUAUGUAAUUUGACUUUUAUCAUCA
rnacentral:lncRNA from 1 species